AACGAACGCUGGCGGCAGGCUUAACACAUGCAAGUCGAACGCCUCGUAAGGGGAGUGGCAGACGGGUGAGUAACGCGUGGGAACAUACCCUUUUCUACGGAAUAGCUCUGGGAAACUGGAAUUAAUACCGUAUACGCCCUACGGGGGAAAGAUUUAUCGGGGAAGGAUUGGCCCGCGUUGGAUUAGCUAGUUGGUGGGGUAAAGGCCUACCAAGGCGACGAUCCAUAGCUGGUCUGCUAGGAUGAUCAGCCACAUUGGGACUGAGACACGGCCCAAACUCCUACGGGAGGCAGCAGUGGGGAAUAUUGGACAAUGGGCGCAAGCCUGAUCCAGCCAUGCCGCGUGAGUGAUGAAGGCCUUAGGGUUGUAAAGCUCUUUCACCGAUGAAGAUAAUGACGGUAGUCGGAGAAGAAGCCCCGGCUAACUUCGUGCCAGCCGCCGCGGUAAAAC
rnacentral:rRNA from 1 species